GGAGACUUGUCCGAGUGGUUUAAGGAGCAAGCCUGGAAAGUUUGUAUACGGGAAACUGUAUCGAGAGUUCGAAUCUCUCAGUCUCCG
rnacentral:tRNA from 1 species